rnacentral:rRNA from 1 species
GAUGAACGCUAGCUACAGGCUUAACACAUGCAAGUCGAGGGGUAACAUGAAGCAAGCUUGCUUGCUUUGAUGACGACCGGCGCACGGGUGAGUAACGCGUAUCCAACCUGCCCCUUACUACGGGACAGCCCGGCGAAAGUCGGAUUAAUACCGUAUGUGGUGUGAAGAGGGCAUCUGACUUACACUAAAGAUUCAUCGGUAAGGGAUGGGGAUGCGUCCGAUUAGGUUGUCGGCGGGGUAACGGCCCACCGAGCCCGCGAUCGGUAGGGGUUCUGAGAGGAAGGUCCCCCACACUGGAACUGAGACACGGUCCAGACUCCUACGGGAGGCAGCAGUGAGGAAUAUUGGUCAAUGGGCGCGAGCCUGAACCAGCCAAGUAGCGUGAGGGAAGACUGCCCUAUGGGUUGUAAACCUCUUUAGUCUGGGAAUAAAGUCGGCGACGUGUCGCCGUUUGUAGGUACCAGAAGAAUAAGGACCGGCUAAUUCCGUGCCAGCAGCCGCGGUAAUACGGAAGGUCCGGGCGUUAUCCGGAUUUAUUGGGUUUAAAGGGAGCGCAGGCGGCCUGUUAAGCGGGCAGUUAAAGGCGGUGGCCCAACCAUCGUUAGCUGUCCGAACUGCCGGGCUUGAGUACGUGCGAGGUAUGCGGAAUUCGUGGUGUAGCGGUGAAAUGCUUAGAUAUCACGAAGAACCCCGAUUGCGAAGGCAGCAUACCAGUGCGCCACUGACGCUAAAGCUCGAAAGCGCGGGUAUCGAACAGGAUUAGAUACCCUGGUAGUCCGCGCGGUAAACGAUGGAUGCCCGCUGUGCGGCCUUUUAUGGUUGCGCGGCCAAGCGAAAGCAU